UACGUAGGGGGCAAGCGUUGUCCGGAACCAUUGGGCGUAAAGAGCGCGUAGGCGGCCCUGUAAGUCCGCUGUGAAAGUCAAGGGCUCAACCCUUGGAUGCCGGUGGAUACUGCAGGGCUAGAGUCCGGAAGAGGAGAGUGGAAUUCCUGGUGUAGCGGUGAAAUGCGCAGAUAUCAGGAAGAACACCCGUGGCGAAGGCGGCUCUCUGGGACGGUACUGACGCUGAGACGCGAAAGCGUGGGGAGCGAACAGG
rnacentral:rRNA from 1 species